AAUAGAUGACGUCGUUGAUUUUUUCUCACAUGUUUGACUAUUCAUCUUAUUUAAAAAAUUGACGUAAUUAUAAUUUAUUUUGUUAUGAGUUGUUUUAUCACUCAUAUUACUUUAAGUGUGAUUUAUAUCUUAUACAUCUAUAUAAAAUCUUUGAAUAAAAUGAAUGGUCAAACAUGUGAUAAAAAGUCAACGGCGUCAUCUAUU
rfam:Oryza sativa Japonica Group DNA, chromosome 6, cultivar: Nipponbare, complete sequence.